rnacentral:rRNA from 1 species
AACGAACGCUGGCGGCAGGCUUAACACAUGCAAGUCGAACGCCCCGCAAGGGGAGUGGCAGACGGGUGAGUAACACGUGGGAACAUGCCCAAAGGUACGGAAUAUUCUCGGGAAACUGGGAGCAAUACCGUAUGUGCCCGAAAGGGGAAAGGUUUAUCGCCUUUGGAUUGGCCCGCGUUGGAUUAGCUAGUUGGUGGGGUAAAAGCCUACCAAGGCGACGAUCCAUAGCUGGUCUGAGAGGACGACCAGCCACACUGGGACUGAGACACGGCCCAGACUCCUACGGGAGGCAGCAGUGGGGAAUUUUGGACAAUGGGCGCAAGCCUGAUCCAGCCAUGCCGCGUGAGUGAUGAAGGCCCUAGGGUUGUAAAACUCUUUCGUGGGGGACGAUAAUGACGGUACCCCAAGAAGAAGCUCCGGCUAACUUCGUGCCAGCAGCCGCGGUAACAC